rnacentral:rRNA from 1 species
UACCCAGGUUCUUGACAUCCCUUUGAAGGUUUUAGAGAUAAGAAGUUUUCUUUUUUGGGAGACAAAGUGACAGGUGGUGCAUGGUCGUCGUCAGCUCGUGUCGUGAGAUGUUGGGUUAAGUCCCGCAACGAGCGCAACCCUUAUUGUUAGUUGCCAACAUUCAGAUGGGCACUCUAGCGAGACUGCCGGUGACAAACCGGAGGAAGGCGGGGACGACGUCAGAUCAUCAUGCCCCUUAUGACCUGGGCUACACACGUGCUACAAUGGCGUAUACAACGAGUUGCCAACCCGCGAGGGUGAGCUAAUCUCUUAAAGUACGUCUCAGUUCGGAUUGUAGUCUGCAACUCGACUACAUGAAGUCGGAAUCGCUAGUAAUCGCGGAUCAGCACGCCGCGGUGAAUACGUUCCCGGGUCUUGUACACACCGCCU